AGGGGUUAUGCCACUCUAGGAUUUUCAAAAAAUCGCUUUUUUUUUUGCUUUAAAUAGUUCCUUAGGGUCUCAGAAAUAACAUAUUGCAGGAUUAUGGCUCGGAAAAAUCUCUAAAUAAUUUAUUUUCGAAGUUCCUUGCAAGGCUGCACGGUACGCGGCGAGCUCAUUUUGUCAGUUCUACGGGGGGUGAUCUUUGAAGGAUCUACAGCAGGUAUACGGCAGAUGUUUUCAAAGGCGCUAGUUACUUGCUAGACUAUAGUGGUCAAUUAUAUGGUGCAGGCAUUGCAGAUUAAAGGAGCAGUUAGUUCGGCCACGUACCCCUUGAACCAUAGAGGAGUCGAAGGACGACCGCUACAGCGCCACCAUUCUUCAAGAAAUAUUUAUAAGAAAUUAUUUUUUUACACCUAAAAAGAUGUAUAAUAAACUUCUUAUAUUAUAUUUUUAA